rnacentral:rRNA from 1 species
AUUGAACGCUGGCGGCAGGCCUAACACAUGCAAGUCGAGCGGAGCGGCGGACGGGUGCGUAAUGCCUAGGACUCUGCCUGGUCGUGGGGGAUAACGUUCGGUAACGGGCGCUAAUACCGCAUCCUAUCAGAUUAGGCUAGGUCGGUUUAGCUAGUUGGUGGGGUAAAGGCAUACCAAGGCGACGAUCCGUAGCUGGUCUGAGAGGAUGAUCAGUCACACUGGAACUGAGAAACGGUCCAGACUCCUACGGGAGGCAGCAGUGGGGAAUAUUGGACAAUGGGCGAAAGCCUGAUCCAGCCAUGCCGCGUGUGUGAAGAAGGUCUUCGGAUUGUAAAGCACUUUAAGUUGGGAGGCGUUACCAGCAGAAUAAGCACCGGCUAACUUCGUGCCAGCAGCCGCGGUAAUUC